UGAAAUGGCAAAUGGAACAGUUCUAAUGU
rnacentral:piRNA from 1 species